rnacentral:rRNA from 1 species
AGUCGACGAUGAAUCUUCUAGCUUGCUAGAAGUGGAUUAGUGGCGCACGGGUGAGUAAUGCAUAGGUUAUGUGCCCUUUAGUCUGGGAUAGCCACUGGAAACGGUGAUUAAUACUGGAUACUCCCUACGGGGGAAAGUUUUUCGCUAAAGGAUCAGCCUAUGUCCUAUCAGCUUGUUGGUGAGGUAAUGGCUCACCAAGGCUAUGACGGGUAUCCGGCCUGAGAGGGUGAUCGGACACACUGGAACUGAGACACGGUCCAGACUCCUACGGGAGGCAGCAGUAGGGAACAUUGCUCAAUGGGGGAAACCCUGAAGCAGCAACGCCGCGUGGAGGAUGAAGGUUUUAGGAUUGUAAACUCCUUUUGUUAGAGAAGAUUAUGACGGUAUCUAACGAAUAAGCACCGGCUAACUCCGUGCCAGCAGCCGCGGUAAUACGGAGGGUGCAAGCGUUACUCGGAAUCACUGGGCGUAAAGAGUGCGUAGGCGGGGUAAUAAGUCAGAUGUGAAAUCCUGUAGCUUAACUACAGAACUGCAUUUGAAACUGUUACUCUGGAGUGUGGGAGAGGUAGGUGGAAUUCUUGGUGUAGGGGUAAAAUCCGUAGAGAUCAAGAGGAAUACUCAUUGCGAAGGCGACCUGCUGGAACGUUACUGACGCUGAUGCACGAAAGCGUGGGGAGCAAACAGGAUUAGAUACCCUGGUAGUCCACGCCCUAAACGAUGGAUGCUAGUUGUUGCCUUGCUUGUCAGGGCAGUAAUGCAGCUAACGCAUUAAGCAUCCCGCCUGGGGAGUACGGUCGCAAGAUUAAAACUCAAAGGAAUAGACGGGGACCCGCACAAGCGGUGGAGCAUGUGGUUUAAUUCGAAGAUACGCGAAGAACCUUACCUAGGCUUGACAUUGAU